rnacentral:rRNA from 1 species
ACGCUCGACACCUACGGGAGGACAGCAGGUGGGGAAUAUUGCACAAUGGGGGAAACCCUGAUGCAGCGACGCCGCGUGAGCGAAGAAGUAUUUCGGUAUGUAAAGCUCUAUCAGCAGGGAANAAACUGACGGUACCUGACUAAGAAGCACCGGCUAAAUACGUGCCACAGCCGCGGUAAUCUGAGCGGCUGGCAAGGC